rnacentral:tRNA from 1 species
GUCCCCAUCGUCUAGAGGCCUAGGACACAGGGUUCUCAUCCCUGCAACUGGGGUUCGAAUCCCCAUGGGGAUG